rnacentral:rRNA from 1 species
UACAGAGGGUGCAAGCGUUGUUCGGAAUUAUUGGGCGUAAAGGGCUCGUAGGCGGCUUGUUGCGUCGACUGUGAAAACCCGCGGCUUAACUGCGGGCUUGCAGUUGAUACGGGCAGGCUAGAGUUCGGUAGGGGAGACUGGAAUUCCUGGUGUAGCGGUGAAAUGCGCAGAUAUCAGGAGGAACACCGAUGGCGAAGGCAGCCCCCUGGGUCAAGAUUGACGCUCAUGCACGAAAGCGUGGGGAGCAAACAGG